ACGUAUGGAUAGAAGAGGAACUAUCACCAUUGAGCAGCUACUUGAUGAGAUUGAAGACCAGGAUGAUCUUCAAAGAGAGUUUGGGGAUAUGAAUCUCCAGAAAUAAAAAGUGAAUGAAAUCUAUGUUUCAUGACCGUAACUGAGUUUCAUGCCUUAGUCUCGGUCCUAUCGGAAGACAGAAGUUAGAAGAUCAUGAGGUCUCAAGUCAUUGAUGCUUCUACAUCAUCUUCUACUUUUGUUUGGCAUCUAUGUUUUAUGUCUUAGACUCGAACUUGUUCUAUGUUUUAGAUGCUUCUGCAUCAUCUUCUACUUUCGU